GGGUUGUGAGGUUAAGCGACUAAGCGUACACGGUGGAUGCCCUGGCAGUCAGAGGCGAUGAAGGGCGUGCUAAUCUGCGAUAAGCGCCGGUAAGGUGAUAUGAACCGUUAUAACCGGCGAUACCCGAAUGGGGAAACCCAGUGUGACUCAUCACACUAUCAUUAACUGAAUCCAUAGGUUAAUGAGGCGAACCGGGGGAACUGAAACAUCUAAGUACCCCGAGGAAAAGAAAUCAACCGAGAUUCCCCCAGUAGCGGCGAGCGAACGGGGAGGAGCCCAGAGCCUGAAUCAGCAUGUGUGUUAGUGGAAGCGUCUGGAAAGGCGCGCGAUACAGGGUGACAGCCCCGUACACAAAAGCGCAUAUGCUGUGAGCUCGAUGAGUAGGGCGGGACACGUGGUAUCCUGUCUGAAUAUGGGGGGACCAUCCUCCAAGGCUAAAUACUCCUGACUGACCGAUAGUGAACCAGUACCGUGAGGGAAAGGCGAAAAGAACCCCGGCGAGGGGAGUGAAAAAGAACCUGAAACCGUGUACGUACAAGCAGUGGGAGCCCCACCACUAAGCCAGUGGUGAACUCCACAUACGCAUCCUUUGCUGAGGAUACGGUUAACGGAGCGAAAGCGACGUUCAACCGCAAAAGAAGCAGAGGGGGCUUAGUGGUGGGGUGACUGCGUACCUUUUGUAUAAUGGGUCAGCGACUUAUAUUCUGUAGCAAGGUUAACCGCAUAGGGGAGCCGGAGGGAAACCGAGUCUUAAUUGGGCGUUAAGUUGCAGGGUAUAGACCCGAAACCCGGUGAUCUAGCCAUGGGCAGGUUGAAGGUUGGGUAACACUAACUGGAGGACCGAACCGACUAAUGUUGAAAAAUUAGCGGAUGACCUGUGGCUGGGGGUGAAAGGCCAAUCAAACCGGGAGAUAGCUGGUUCUCCCCGAAAGCUAUUUAGGUAGCGCCUCGUGAAUUCAUCUCCGGGGGUAGAGCACUGUUUCGGCUAGGGGGCCAUCCCGGCUUACCAACCCGAUGCAAACUGCGAAUACCGGAGAAUGUUAUCACGGGAGACACACGGCGGGUGCUAACGUCCGUCGUGAAGAGGGAAACAACCCAGACCGCCAGCUAAGGUCCCAAAGUCAUGGUUAAGUGGGAAACGAUGUGGGAAGGCCCAGACAGCCAGGAUGUUGGCUUAGAAGCAGCCAUCAUUUAAAGAAAGCGUAAUAGCUCACUGGUCGAGUCGGCCUGCGCGGAAGAUGUAACGGGGCUAAACCAUGCACCGAAGCUGCGGCAGCGACGCUUAUGCGUUGUUGGGUAGGGGAGCGUUCUGUAAGCCUGUGAAGGUGGCCUGUGAGGGUUGCUGGAGGUAUCAGAAGUGCGAAUGCUGACAUAAGUAACGAUAAAGCGGGUGAAAAGCCCGCUCGCCGGAAGACCAAGGGUUCCUGUCCAACGUUAAUCGGGGCAGGGUGAGUCGACCCCUAAGGCGAGGCCGAAAGGCGUAGUCGAUGGGAAACGGGUUAAUAUUCCCGUACUUGGUGUUACUGCGAAGGGGGGACGGAGAAGGCUAUGUUGGCCGGGCGACGGUUGUCCCGGUUUAAGCGUGUAGGUGUGUGUUCCAGGUAAAUCCGGUUCACUUUAACACUGAGGCGUGACGACGAGGCACUACGGUGCUGAAGCAACAAAUGCCCUGCUUCCAGGAAAAGCCUCUAAGCAUCAGGUAACACGAAAUCGUACCCCAAACCGACACAGGUGGUCAGGUAGAGAAUACCAAGGCGCUUGAGAGAACUCGGGUGAAGGAACUAGGCAAAAUGGUGCCGUAACUUCGGGAGAAGGCACGCUGACACGUAGGUGAAGUGAUUUACUCACGGAGCUGAAGUCAGUCGAAGAUACCAGCUGGCUGCAACUGUUUAUUAAAAACACAGCACUGUGCAAACACGAAAGUGGACGUAUACGGUGUGACGCCUGCCCGGUGCCGGAAGGUUAAUUGAUGGGGUCAGCGCAAGCGAAGCUCCUGAUCGAAGCCCCGGUAAACGGCGGCCGUAACUAUAACGGUCCUAAGGUAGCGAAAUUCCUUGUCGGGUAAGUUCCGACCUGCACGAAUGGCGUAAUGAUGGCCAGGCUGUCUCCACCCGAGACUCAGUGAAAUUGAACUCGCUGUGAAGAUGCAGUGUACCCGCGGCAAGACGGAAAGACCCCGUGAACCUUUACUAUAGCUUGACACUGAACAUUGAGCCUUGAUGUGUAGGAUAGGUGGGAGGCUUUGAAGUGUGGACGCCAGUCUGCAUGGAGCCGACCUUGAAAUACCACCCUUUGAUGUUUGAUGUUCUAACGUGGACCCGUUACCCGGGUUGCGGACAGUGUCUGGUGGGUAGUUUGACUGGGGCGGUCUCCUCCUAAAGAGUAACGGAGGAGCACGAAGGUUGGCUAAUCCUGGUCGGACAUCAGGAGGUUAGUGCAAUGGCAUAAGCCAGCUUGACUGCGAGCGUGACGGCGCGAGCAGGUGCGAAAGCAGGUCAUAGUGAUCCGGUGGUUCUGAAUGGAAGGGCCAUCGCUCAACGGAUAAAAGGUACUCCGGGGAUAACAGGCUGAUACCGCCCAAGAGUUCAUAUCGACGGCGGUGUUUGGCACCUCGAUGUCGGCUCAUCACAUCCUGGGGCUGAAGUAGGUCCCAAGGGUAUGGCUGUUCGCCAUUUAAAGUGGUACGCGAGCUGGGUUUAGAACGUCGUGAGACAGUUCGGUCCCUAUCUGCCGUGGGCGCUGGAGAACUGAGGGGGGCUGCUCCUAGUACGAGAGGACCGGAGUGGACGCAUCACUGGUGUUCGGGUUGUCAUGCCAAUGGCACUGCCCGGUAGCUAAAUGCGGAAGAGAUAAGUGCUGAAAGCAUCUAAGCACGAAACUUGCCCCGAGAUGAGUUCUCCCUGAGACUUUAGGUCUCCUGAAGGAACGUUGAAGACGACGACGUUGAUAGGCCGGGUGUGUAAGCGCAGCGAUGCGUUGAGCUAACCGGUACUAAUGAACCGUGAGGCUUAACCUUACAACGCCGAAG
rnacentral:rRNA from 1 species